GUCGCAGCAGUUGUGUUAAGAAAUACAUCAGAAAUUCAGCAGUCCCCAUGCCUUGAGAUGUUUAUGUACCUCAUGCAGUACAUGUGACGUGUAUGUGGCAGUGCAAACAUUGUGUGGCAAGAGAGAGUAGUCUCCACAAUGACCCAGCCUAUGAGACUGAGGGUCAUCCUGGGUGACGAUGAUGCCAGAAAGCUAAUCCUGCCGGCAGGUAAACCAGGCUCCAUGGAGGAAUUGUACAAGACUAUAAAGAUGAGUUUUGGAUUAGAGC